AUCCCGCUGGUCCAAUGGUAAGACACCGAACAUCACGAGUAAUUGAUCUUCUUGGUUAUUCAGAUAUCCUGGGUUCGAAUCCCGGGCGAGACA